rnacentral:misc_RNA from 1 species
CCUUGCUGUCUCUUGUUCGGAUGCGCACAAGGAUGCGGCGGAGUUGUGUGUUCUUCAGGCGGGAUGUCUGUGAGCAGCUGAUGGAUGAUCGAGUCGGGCGGAGGCUUGUGCAUCGGCUGAACAACAGCAUACAACGGCGGCAGGAGAGCGAAAGCAGCAUGUGUCCCACCGACUUUCGGUAGGUCCCAACGCUGUCCUCGUGUGCCUUAUGUCUCUGUCUACGCCCCGCCUCCCUUUCCAUCUGCGUGUCGUGACGGUGGUGAGGGGUUCGUUUCUUUCGCGCGCCCACGCGCAUUCUUUCCUCCCCGCGCGAGUGUCGCUGAGGAAGAUGAGCGUCUGCUCGCAUGUCGAUGAAAAGUAAGGUUUGGUAAUAUGUUGGCUGAUGGAUGGGUGAGUUUGCCCACGCGGGAUGCAGUUUUCAGUUGUGUGCUUUGGGUGUCUUCAUACGGAAUCUAACAUCGUCUUACAUGCCUAUGUGUUCGUUUUUCUUUCUUCUGUCUCUAAGCAAAGAAAAAGCCUGUCCAUCCCCCCAUCUCUCACCACGCGGAGAGAGUCUAUAGCGAAUCUUGCAUGCGUGUAUUCUGGCCCCGCACGUGUCGAGCACAGUCAGCCUCGCUGCUUGAAGAAGAGAGCGGAGGGGGGAUGCUGCCCAACGCGCGACGGCUUGUAGUGGUCGUGGUGCUGGAGCAUGUAUCAGCAUCUUCCUCUCCUUCUGUUUCGCGCCUGUGGUGCUCCCCAAGCGAACCCAUGCUUGCCGUGCUCGCGCCGUUCCUUGGAGGGGGACUUUUUUCUGCUCUUAGAUGGCGCACCGCAGCCGUCGAACUGCCGACGAGCGUGCCUGUGCAUGCCGCGGGAGGCGUCUGUGCCCUUGCUUGACUAGCAAGCCACAUGGUGUGUGUGUGUGUUUCUUUGCCAUCUCUGCCUCGAUUUGCGCAAACACGCUCACACCCACGCGCGUGGACACCAGCGAUUCAUGUCCCGCUGCCGUCGCUUGGACUCUUUUUCAAACCUUUGCGAUACCGCUGCUCUCUCCCUCCCUCCCCCACCUCUUCUUCCUCUGUCUUGAGUUUCUUCGAAG